rnacentral:rRNA from 2 species
GUGCCUAAUACAUGCAAGUCGAACGCGUUGGCCCAAUUGAUUGAUGGUGCUUGCACCUGAUUGAUUUUGGUCGCCAACGAGUGGCGGACGGGUGAGUAACACGUAGGUAACCUGCCCAGAAGCGGGGGACAACAUUUGGAAACAGAUGCUAAUACCGCAUAACAGCGUUGUUCGCAUGAACAACGCUUAAAAGAUGGCUUCUCGCUAUCACUUCUGGAUGGACCUGCGGUGCAUUAGCUUGUUGGUGGGGUAACGGCCUACCAAGGCGAUGAUGCAUAGCCGAGUUGAGAGACUGAUCGGCCACAAUGGGACUGAGACACGGCCCAUACUCCUACGGGAGGCAGCAGUAGGGAAUCUUCCACAAUGGGCGCAAGCCUGAUGGAGCAACACCGCGUGAGUGAAGAAGGGUUUCGGCUCGUAAAGCUCUGUUGUUAAAGAAGAACACGUAUGAGAGUAACUGUUCAUACGUUGACGGUAUUUAACCAGAAAGUCACGGCUAACUACGUGCCAGCAGCCGCGGUAAUACGUAGGUGGCAAGCGUUAUCCGGAUUUAUUGGGCGUAAAGAGAGUGCAGGCGGUUUUCUAAGUCUGAUGUGAAAGCCUUCGGCUUAACCGGAGAAGUGCAUCGGAAACUGGAUAACUUGAGUGCAGAAGAGGGUAGUGGAACUCCAUGUGUAGCGGUGGAAUGCGUAGAUAUAUGGAAGAACACCAGUGGCGAAGGCGGCUACCUGGUCUGCAACUGACGCUGAGACUCGAAAGCAUGGGUAGCGAACAGGAUUAGAUACCCUGGUAGUCCAUGCCGUAAACGAUGAGUGCUAGGUGUUGGAGGGUUUCCGCCCUUCAGUGCCGGAGCUAACGCAUUAAGCACUCCGCCUGGGGAGUACGACCGCAAGGUUGAAACUCAAAGGAAUUGACGGGGGCCCGCACAAGCGGUGGAGCAUGUGGUUUAAUUCGAAGCUACGCGAAGAACCUUACCAGGUCUUGACAUCUUGCGCCAACCCUAGAGAUAGGGCGUUUCCUUCGGGAACGCAAUGACAGGUGGUGCAUGGUCGUCGUCAGCUCGUGUCGUGAGAUGUUGGGUUAAGUCCCGCAACGAGCGCAACCCUUGUUACUAGUUGCCAGCAUUAAGUUGGGCACUCUAGUGAGACUGCCGGUGACAAACCGGAGGAAGGUGGGGACGACGUCAGAUCAUCAUGCCCCUUAUGACCUGGGCUACACACGUGCUACAAUGGACGGUACAACGAGUCGCGAACUCGCGAGGGCAAGCAAAUCUCUUAAAACCGUUCUCAGUUCGGACUGCAGGCUGCAACUCGCCUGCACGAAGUCGGAAUCGCUAGUAAUCGCGGAUCAGCAUGCCGCGGUGAAUACGUUCCCGGGCCUUGUACACACCGCCCGUCACACCAUGAGAGUUUGUAACACCCAAA